GUCUCCUCCCUCCUGAUGUUCACUUCUUGGACUUUCUUGCUGGAACCCCCUUUUGGGCAUCCCUUCUUCCCUGUCACCAUGUCCACCUUGAGAUCUGUCUUAGUAACAAUGACUAAUAAGAUUCUCUUCCCACACUGCACCUUUCUGGGGGCAAAUUCAAUUUUAAAAAUUGAUAAUUGGAAGGGAAAACUAUCUUCCCCAGGUCUGUCACUGCAGAGGGCUCCUGGAUUUAAUACUCCUGAUUUUGCUUUGCCUGACACAGAUUUCUCUCUUUUUUUCUUCCACAGGUCAAAAUCAUUAACUUUUUGCUUCUCAAAAUCACUAGGACCCUCUUCUAAUAUAAUGUUGGGCUUUCUUCAAGUACCACACAAGAAGACAUCCCAGGGACAUCUGGAUCCCCAGCUAUUUCAUUUUACAUCUUGGUAUUACCUUCACUCCUCAGAGCUGAGUUCUAAGUCCAGUCACUUACUGAAAAUAUGACUUCCCAGGGAUCUUCAGACUUGGACAAAAUCUUGCCUGCUCCCUAUGGAUGGUACAUGUAUGAACCUUCCCUUUCUUGUGAAACUACUGGCUUUGAUUUCUUGUGCCAAUGUGCAGGGUGAUGGGUGAGAGAUGAGAAAAACUCAAAAUGCCACAAAUGCCAACUUCCUACCAAACUGAGUUG
rnacentral:lncRNA from 1 species